GACGAACGCUGGCGGCGUGCUUAACACAUGCAAGUCGAACGGAAAGGCCCUGCUUUUGUGGGGUGCUCGAGUGGCGAACGGGUGAGUAACACGUGAGUAACCUGCCCUUGACUUUGGGAUAACUUCAGGAAACUGGGGCUAAUACCGGAUAGGAGCUCCUGCUGCAUGGUGGGGGUUGAAAGUUUCGGCGGUUGGGGACGGACUCGCGGCUUAUCAGCUUGUUGGUGGGGUAGUGGCUUACCAAGGCUUUGACGGGUAGCCGGCCUGAGAGGGUGACCGGCCACAUUGGGACUGAGAUACGGCCCAGACUCCUACGGGAGGCAGCAGUGGGGAAUAUUGCACAAUGGGCGGAAGCCUGAUGCAGCAACGCCGCGUGCGGGAUGACGGCCUUCGGGUUGUAAACCGCUUUCGCCUGUGACGAAGCGUGAGUGACGGUAAUGGGUAAAGAAGCACCGGCUAACUACGUG
rnacentral:rRNA from 1 species